rnacentral:lncRNA from 1 species
UGAUGUGGCUGGGGCUUCGCCGGCCUCACUAUGUCUGCCAUUUUCAACUUUCAGAGUCUGUUGACUGUAAUCUUGCUGCUUAUAUGUACCUGUGCUUAUAUCCGAUCCUUGGCACCCAGCCUCCUGGACAGAAAUAAAACUGGAUUGUUGGGUAUAUUUUGGAAGUGUGCUAGAAUUGACAAAUCCAAUGUUAGUUUUUAAAGUGCACCCUUCCCAAUUUUGUGCAUUUUUGCAAUCGUUUGUAGAGUUCCACCAAACUCUUCCUGACACUAUUUAAAACCAGAUUUUAUAGAUAUCUCAUAAUACAUCAUUAGCAGGGAGAUGAAAAAUAGAACAAAAAUCUCUCUAAUUCACAUAUCAAAAACUGUGCAUUCCUGGUUUUGAGAUUUCAGACAAAUAUGUAUAGUUUUAUGCACAUGUGCUUAUAAUAUAUAGCUUUCUAUAUAAAGUAUACCAUUUUGAUAAUUGAGAAUGAAUUUCCCAUUUAAUAAAAGGUUUGCCGAGCAACUGUCUAAUUGCCCUUUGCUACGUCAUAGAAUCUUAUUUGUUGCUUUUAGAAAACAUGAACGUUGCAUGGAUGUGGCCAUACUUGAGCUUGAUCUUUCUAAUUAAUUAAAGUUAAGUAGCAUCCUAAGUGUGUUUAUGGUUAGAAAACAAUGUGUAUUAUACUAUUGUCCCAUAGCACUGUGUAUAUGAUAGCAUUUAACACAGUGCUCAACACAUAGUAGACUCUCAAAUGAUUGGUAAGUAAAUAAAUUGAAAUGUAUUCUAUUUCUGUAAUUCACCAGUAUUCUUUUUUUACUGAAGAUUAGUUGAUGUAGAGUAUUAUAUAACACACAGGUGUACAACAUGGUGAUACAUAAUUUUAAAGGUUAUACUCCAUUUACAGUUAUUAUAAAAUAUUGGUUAUAUUCUCUGUUUUCUCCUUGUAGCUUAUUUAUGUUAUACAUAACAGCUUGUACUUCUUAACACCCUACUCUUGUCUUUUCCCUCCCCUCUUCCCUCUCCACACUGUUAACCACAAAUUUGUUCUCCAUAUCUAUGAGUCUCCUCCCUUUCAACAUAUUCACUAGUUGGUUUUAUUUUUUAGAUUCUACAUAUAAGUGAUAUCAUACAGUGUUUGUCUGACUUACUUCACUUAGCAUAAUACCCUUCAAGUCCACCGACAUGGUUGCAAAUGGUAACAUUUCAUUGAUUUUUAUAGCUAAGUAGUAUUCCAUUGUGUAUAUAUCUCACAAAUUCUCUAUUCAUCUAUUGAUGGACACUUGGGUUGCUUCCAUAUCUGGGCCAUUGUAAAUAAUACUGCUAUGAAUAUUACAGUGCAUUUUUUUCAUAUCUAUAUAUAUAUCUUUUUGACUUAAAGUUUUCAUCUUUUCCAAGUAUAUACCCAGGUGUGGAAUUCCUGGGUCAUAUGGUAGUUCCAUUUUUAAUUGUGUUGAGAAUAUCCAUGUUGUCCACAGUGGCUACACCAAUUUACAGUCCCACCAACAAUGUAUGAGGGUUCCCUUUUCUCUACAUCUUCAGCAACAGUUGUGUUCUUUUUGAGGAUAGCCAUUUUGACAGAUGGGAGAUGAUAUCUCCUUGUGGUUUUAAUUUGCAUUUCUCUGGGUAAUGGUGUUGAGCAUCUUUUCACCUGCCUAUUGGUCAUCUCUAUGUCUUCUUUGAAAAAAUGGCUGUUCAAGUUCUCUGCCCAUUUUUUAAUAGGGUUUUUUGGGGGGUUUUUUGUUUGUUUGUUUUUUGCUUUUUGCUUUUUUUUUUUUUAGGGCCACACCUGCAGCGUAUGAAGGUUCCCAUAGGGUCCAAUUGGAGCUAUAGCUGCUGGCCUAUGCCACAGCCACGCAUGAUCCAAGCCACAUAUAUGACCUACAUAAAUCACAGCUCACAGCAACGCCAGAUCCUUAACCCACUGAGCGAGGCUAGGGAUCGAACCCACAGCUUCAUGGUUCCUAGUUGGAUUCAUUUCUGCUGCACCACAACAGGAACUCCAGGGUUUUUUCUUUCCUGUACCAAAGCUUUUUAGUUUAAUUCAGUCCUUUGUUUACUUUCGCUUUUGUUUCAUUUGCUUUAGGAAAUAAAUAAAAAAAAAAACAGUGCUCUGAUUUAUGUUAAAGAGGGUUCCGCCUAUGUUUUCUUCUAGGAGAUUUACAAUUUCUGGUCUUAUGUUUAGGUCUUUAAUCCAUUUUGAAUUUAUUUUUAUAUAUGAUGUAAGACUAUUAUUUCAUUCGUUUACAUGUGGCUGUCCAGUUUUCCCAGUACCACUUAUUGAAGAGAUUGUCUUUUCUCCAUUGUGUAUUCUUGCCUCCUUAGUCAUAGCUUAUUGACCCUAAGUGUGUGAGUUUAUUUCUGGGCUCUCUAUUCUAUUCCAUUGAUCUGUGUCUGUUUUUGUGCCAGUGCCAUAUUGUUUUGGUAGUAUAAUCUGAAGUCCAGGAGCAUGCUUUGUCCAAUUCCAGUCUUCUUUCUUAAGAUUGUUUUGGCUAUUCAGGGUCUUUUGUGUUUCCAUACAGAUUUUAAAAUUAUUUAUUCUAGUUCUGUGAAAAAUGCCUUGAUAUUUUGAUAGAGGUUGUGUUGAAUUUGGAGAUUGCCUUGAGUACUAUGGUCAUUUUAACAAUAUUCAUUCUUCCAAUCCAUGAACACAGUAUAUCCUUCCAUCUCUUUGUGUCAUCUUCACAUUUUUUCAUACAUCUUAGUUUUGAGUACAGGCCUUUUACCCCCUUGGGUAGGCUUAUUCUUAGAUAUUUUAUUAUUUUUGAUCCAAUGGUUAAUGGGAUUGUUUCCUUAACUUCUCUUUCUGACCUUUCAUGGUUAGUGUGUAAGAAUAUAAAAGAUUUUUGGCUAUUAAUUUUGUAUCCUGCAACUUUACUGAAUUCACUGAUGAGUUAUCAUUGUUUUCUGGUGGGAGUUUUGUGCUUACAGAUCCAACCUCAUUACAGAUAAUUGGUCUGUUCAUAUUUUCUACUUAUCCCUGCUUAGGUCUUGGGAGAUUGUACCUUUCUAAGAAUUUGUCCAUUUCUUCUAGACUAUCCAUAUUAUUGGCUUAUAGCUGUGUGUAGUACUCUCUUAUGGCCUUUUGUAUUUCUUUGUUGUCAGUUGUAACUUAUUUCAUUGCUGAUUUUAUUGAUUUGGACCUCUAUUUCUCUAGUUUAUGUUUUAUUGGUUUUAUCUUUUCCAUGAACCAGCUUUUAGUUUCAUUGAUCUUUUCUAUUUUUUUUUUAAUCUCUAUUUCAUUUAUUUCUGCUCUAAUCUUUAUGCUUUCUUUACUAAUACUAACUUUGGGUUUUAUUUGUUCUUUUUUAGUUCCUUUAGGUAUAAGGUUAGAUUGUUCAUUUGAGACUUUUCUUAUCUCCUGAGGUAACCUUGUAGAAGUAUACACUUCCCUCUUAGACCUGCUUUUGCUAUGUCCCAUAGAUUUUUGUAUUGUUUUGUUCUCAUUUUCAUUUGUAUCCAGGUUUUUUAUUUCCUCUGAUUUUUUUUCAUUGAUCCAUUGACUGUUUAGUAACAUUGUUUAGCCUCCAUGGUGUUUGUGGUUUUUGCAGUUUUUUCUUGUAGUUGAUUUCUAGUCUCAUAAUGUUGUGGUUAGGAAAGAUGGCUUGAUAUCAUUUUCAGUUUUCUUAAAUUUACUGAGGCUUAUUUGGUGGCCUAGCAUUUGCUGUAUCCUGGAGAAUGUUUCAUGAGCUUUUGAAAAGAAUGUAUUCAGAUGGAAUGUUUAUUUAAGUUCAUCUGAUCAUAUAUGUCAUUUAAGGCCCUUGUUUCCCUAUUGAUUUUCUGUUGCACUAAUCUGUCCAUUGAUGUAAGUAGGAUGUUAAAGUCCCCUACUAUUAUGUUAUUCUCAACUUCUCCCUUUAUGUCUGUUAAUAUUUCCUUCGUGUAUUUAGGUGCUUCUGUGUUGGGUGCAUAUAUUUAUAAUUUUUCUUCUUGGGUUGAUCCCUUGAGCAUUAUGUAAUGUUCUUAUCUCUUGUAAUGGUCUUUAAAGUAUAUUUUCUGAUAUAAGUAUUGCUAUUCCAGCUUUCUUUUGAUUUACAAUUAUGUGGAAUACCUCUUUCUAUUCCUUCACUUUCAGUCUGUAUGUCUUUAAAUCUGAAGUUAGACUCUUAGGAGCAGCACAUAUAUGGGUCUUAUUUUUGUAUCCAUUCAGUUACCUUGUGUCUUCUGAUUGAAGCAUUUAGUCCAUUUACAUUUAUGUGAAUUAUUGAUAUGUAUGUUUUUAUUGCCAUUUUAUUAAUUGUUGUGGGGUUGUUUUUGUAGGUAUUUUUGUUCCUUUUUCUUCUGUUCUCUUGUGAUUUGAUAACUGUCUCUAGUGUUAUGUUUAGACUCCUUUUUUGUGUGUAUGUAUCUAUUAUAGAUAUUUGGUUUUUGGUUACCAGAGGUUUCCAUAUAGCAAUCUCAAUAUAUACAUGACUGUUUUAAGUUGCUGAUCUCUUACUUUCAAAUGCAUUUUAACAACCCUUCAUUUAUACUCCCCUCCCAUCAUGAUUACUGGUUUUGAUAUUAAAUUUUACAUCUGAUUGUUUUGUCUGUUCCUUAACUACUUAUUGUGGAGAUUGAUGAUUUCACUACUUUUUUCUUUUAACCUUACUAGCUUUGUGUGUGUAUGAUUUCCUACCUUUGUUAUUUGUUUGCCUUUAAAAUGAUGAACUUUUUCAUAAUUUUCAUGUUUCUCACUGUGGCCUUUCCUUUUUCACUUUCCUUUCACAUUUCUUAUAAAGCUGUUUUGAUGAUGCUGAGGUCUUUUAGCUUGUGCCUGUCUCCAAAGUGUUUGGUCUUAACAUCAAAUCUGAACAAUAACCUUGCUGGGUAGACUAUUCUUAGUUGUAGGUUUUUCCCUUUCAUCACUUUAAAUAUAUCCGGCCACCCCCUCCUUGCCAGCAGUUUUGCUGAAAAUUCAGCUGAUAGCCUUUGGGGAAUUCCCUGGUAUGUUAUUUGUUGCUUUUCCUUUGCUGCUUUCAGUAUCCCCUCUUCAAUUUUGGCCAUUUUGAUUAGUGUGUCUUAGUGUAUUCCUCUUUAGGUUAAUCCUAUAUGGUACUCUAAGCUUCCUGGACUUGGAUGUCUUUUCCUUUUCCAAAUUAGGGAGGUUUUUACCUAUUAUAUCUUCAAACAUGUUAUCAGCCCCUAUCUUCUCCUUCUGAGACCCCCCCCCAUAAAAUGAAUGUUAGCGUGCUUGAUGUUGUCCCAGAGGUCUCUUAAAGUGUCCUCGUUUCUUUUUAUUCUUUUUUCUCUUCAGUGUGAUCCACUCCUCUUUAUCAUUUAUUCUGCUGUUGACUCCUUCCAGGGAAUUUUUCAUUUCAGUUAUUAUUUUCUUCAUCUCCCUUAGAUAGGCUCUGUUCCUUUUAGAGAAUUAUGUUAUAUUUUGGUUUUCACUUCUCAGAGAUGUGGAAAGAAGAUAGUCCAUAACAGAAAACAAAAUUGACUAAAAUACUGAAAUAUACAAACUAAAUUCUUGUAAUACUUAGGAGUUUUCCAGAAAAGAGUUGAGAAUUGAUAUGAUAUAUCUGAAGGUAAUUAUAACUUAGUCUCAGCCAAGGACUGAAAAUUAAUCAUAGGAAUUUUAAAUUCUUUAAAGCAUCUUCUAAGACAUGUGUGGUUAGCCACUGAGAUAAUUUUAAAGGUACAGCAAGCUUUCAAUGGUAGGCAAGACUUAUUAACAGUGGAAGUUGUGAGCAAUAAUUCUAUAGAACUCCUUUUUAAAUUUGUAAUGAUGAGAUCGUAAAAUCUCUUGGUCUGUCAGAUGUCUUGCUAUAGAAAAUAAUAGUGUAAGCACAAAGACCUUCAAAAAAAAGUACUCCUUUCAUGGUCCUUAUUCUCAUAUAUUGACAAUUUAAACAGACAUCUUUUUCAAGGUAAUUCGGUAUGCUUUUAACAUGUUAAAUUGUCCCUCCGUGUUCUUUGUCAUACAUAUUACUUCUUACAUUGAUAAGCAUGAGAAUCUUUCUUUUAAGGAAUAUCAUUGUUCUUAGCUUGGUAAUGCACAGUUAUAACCUUCAUAAGUGGUUUUUCAAUUAGGGGUUAUUUAGCAAUGUCUGGAGACAUUUUUGGUUGUCACAACCAUAGUGAGGGACAUAUACUGGGAUAAGUCAGGGAAGUUGUAAACAUGCUAUGAUACAUAGGACUGCCCCAAUAGAAUUAGCCCAAAUUGUCAAUAGUGCUUCCAUUAAUAAGGCCCAACCUAGAUUUACAGAGAUUGUGGUACAAAUUUAUCUGUCAUUCAGUCAUGCUGAACAGCUACAUACCCUGGAAUAGCAGAAGAAGCCCUUCAGAAGUAACCAAGAAGAGAAAAAGAUAAAGAGACAAAAAAGCACUAUCAGUGGCUAACGCCUGAUAGCUAAUGGCAGAUGUAAAAUAUAUAUAUACACCAAACUGCUUACUUAAGCCCAGUCACCAGGGGAGGGGUGACUGUAACCAAGGACCAUGCUGGUAAGUAAACCUCAAGUAGAUUACCAGGAAAGAAUAUAAUGGGAUUGUUUCCUAAUUUAUCUUUCUGAUACUCAUUUUUAGUGUAUAGAAACAUAACACUUCUGUAUAUAAUGUUUUAUCCUGCAACCUUACCAAAAUUUAUUGAGGAGCUCUAGUAGUUUUCCCUUUUACCAUCAUAUCAAAAAGUGUAAUAUACCUAGGAAUAAACCUAAGGAGCAAAAGACCCAUACUCUGAAAACCAGAAAACGUAGAUGAAAGAAACUGAAGAUGACACAAACAGUUGGAAAGAUACAUUGUAUUCUUCGAUUGGAAAAAUAUAUGUUGUUAAAAUGACCAUAGUACCCAGCCAAUCUACAAAUUCAGUCCAAGCCCUAUCAAAUUACCAAUGGCACUUUUCACAUACCUAGAUCAAAAAUGUUUUAAUUUGUAUGAAAACUACAAAAACUCAGAAUAACCAAUCUUGAGAAAGAAGAAUGGAACGGAAGGAAUCAUGCUCAUUGAUUUCAGACUGUACUACCAAAACUGUAUGGUACUGGCACAAAAACAGACACAGACUAAUGGAACAGAAUAGAGUCCAGAAAUAAACCACACACCUAUGAUCAACUUAUCUAUGACAACAAAGGCAAGGAUAUGCAAUGGAAAAAGACAGUCUCUUCAAUAAGCAAUGCUAGGAAAACUGGACAGCUACAUGUAAAAGAAAGAAAUUAGAACAUUGUCUAAGACCAUAUACAAAAAUAAACUCAAAAGGAAUUAAAGGCCUAAAUGUAAGACCAGAUACUAUUAAAACUCCUAGAGGAAAACAUAGGCAGACCACUCUUUGACAUAAACCCUAGCAAUAUCAUUUUGGAUCUACCUCCUAGAGUAAUGAAAAUAAAAACAAAAACAAACAAGAUAUCUGGAACCUAAUACAAGGCACAAUUAAACCUUUCCACAGAAAAGAAAAUCAUGGACUUACAGAAUAGACUUGUGGUUGCCAAGGGGGAAGGGGAGGAAGUGGAGUGGUUGGGGAGCUUAGGGUUAAUAGAUAAAAACUAUUGCCUUUGGAAUGAAUUAUCAAUGAGAUCCUGCUGUGUAGCACUGGUAACUAUGUCUAGUCACUUAUGAUGGAGCAUGAUAAUGUGCAAAAAUAGAAUGUGUACAUGUAUGUGUAACUGGGUCAUCAUGCUGUACAGUAGAAAAAAUUGUAUUUGGGAAAUAACUAUUUUAAAAAAUAAUAAAUAAAUAAAUUUAAAAAAUUUAAAAAGGCCCUAACCAAACUUAAAGGCUUUUACACAGCAAAGGAAACCAUAAACAAAACAAAAAGACAACCUAUGGAAUGGGAGAAAACUUUUGCAUAUGCAGCGACUGACAAGAGAUGAAUCUCCAAAAUACACAAACAGCUCAUGCAGCUCAAUAU